UGGAGCCAGUCUCACUGGAAAUCAUCACUGUUCCUAUGUCUAACACCGUGGUGGGGAAUGCUGUCAACAGCAAGAAGUUUGGCAUCAAAAAAAGAAAAUGUUCAUCUUGAAAUAUGAAUUUUUAAUGAGAUAGAUAAUUUUCCAGUGUUUUCUUUGGAAGACAGUGGCUGUCAAGUGUCAUUAAGCCUCUAGUUUUUCUAUGUAGUUAAUCUUCUACAAAUUGCAUUUUUUGAUCAUUGCUCCUAGUAUGGAGUUUCUUGCCCAGUGGGGAAUUGUGUGUGGGCAGAUGGAAAUCUUUGCCAUCUGUCCUAAUGAAUGGAAGACCUCAUUCCUAAAGCAGAAUCAGGAGAUUCCCAGGUGUCAGUGACUCCCAAACCAGCCCAGAGGUCAGAGUGAAGAUCUACAAGAAGAUUUUUGUGACCCAAACCUCCUCCAGCUCCGUGACAAAGCUGACAGCCCUGCCUUCAGCAGCUGAGGGUUCUCAGCAGUGUUUCAUGGUGAUUUCUGAACAAGGAACUUCAUGGAGGAUCCCAACACUAAAAUUCUCUCAGGGGGUCAUCCUUGUGCUCUCACACCAGAGGAUAUAAAAUUCAAUGUCCUUGCAAUAUUACUGCAUUGCAUACCAAUGAGAUAUUAUACAAGACACAUCUGAAGAAGUGAAAAUUACCUGACCUAAAGGAGAAAAAGGUACCAGAAAUGAGAUUUGCUUCAAAAUGCAAAAAAAGAAAAAGCAGCUACAUUUACAAAACUUGUGCAACAUCUCAACCAUAUGUUAUUGCAAAACAAUCUCCAGAAUUUAAAGUAGUUUUGCUAAUAGCAGAGACAUUGACCAUAUUUUAAACAGUUUCCUGUGAAAAAGUUCAAGAUAUUUGGUUUGGAGCUGUGUUUGAGCACUUUGUAAAUGUCUCCAUUUGGGAUGCAGUGAACUUUUAUUUGCAUCAUUAUCAGUAGAAGACCUGCUCACACAACAAGCUGCAGGCAAAUAUUUUCAGCAGAAGAAUUUCCAUCAAGUGAGAGAUCACUGAAGUGUGGCAAGAAAGGAUUUGACAAAUAAUGUUCUUGAUGAAUAAAUGUGUUCAGAGGAAACAUGUGAUUUGCUGAGUGCUGUUGGGCAGGAUCAGCAGUCUGCAUUCUCUGCUGAGCACCUUGCUGCUGGACUUGGCAGCACUGCUCCUGCCCGAGCAGACAUUUAAUGGAACAUGGAAGAGUUUCAGGGGAUGAGCCAGGUCAUCUCCACCCCUGUACCCAGCUUGUUUGUAGAAGGCAAAGGGUUUUAAAUCCUCUUAGAGAAAAGAACUGAACUGUGAUUUCCAAAUAACUCCUAAAUGCUCUGACUGUAAAAAUACUUGAUUAGAAAGGAAAUGUUAAUAUGUGUAACUGAUCAUCUUUGGAAUAAAAAUCACUUGUGCCUCUGCCAGGUGCAGCAAAUUCCAGCUCUGAAACACAAGUUUAAGAUGGUUUCUCUGUAGAACCAUGCUAAAGAGGAAUUCAGUUUAAACUAUCCUGGUGUAUUGGGUUCACCAACCCUAUUCAUUCUUGUUAAUACUAUUUUGAGGUGACCAACUCUCCUAAUAAAUAAGAAAUCUAGGGCUAAUUUAAGAUGUGAAUAUUUAACAGAAGUCAGGCUCACUCAAGGGAUGUUGUUUUGUUGGAUCUGUCUCUCCUCUCUCUUUGAUUAUUGACAUUACCCUAAUUUUAAGAAAAUCUUGUCUCCAGAUUCCAGCCAUCUUAUAUUUUCCUCUUCUUGUCUGAGGGCAUAAAACUGGCCUACUAGAUUAUUAUAUGCUUCAUAUUUUUGCUUUCUUUCAGUGAUUUAAUAUGACAAGAAAUAUAAUAAUUUAUCCCUGGAUAUCAAUAAUGUUCUUUUCAUGAGGAAAACAUAAUUUUCAGUCUGGCAUUUGUACUCUGUUCAGCUCAGUAAUGAGCACAAGGAGUAGAAUAGAAGGAUUAACACAUUGGGUUAAAAAGCCCUUUGGGGAAAUGUCUAAACACUCUAUAUAUGAUCUCUAAUUUUAUAUAUUUAUUGACUUAUUACACAGCUCUAACAACAAGUAAAUCCUGUCAGUAAAUCCUAUAGAAUAGUCCUAUAUUCUUUCUAUUAGAUUUUUUUUUAACAGAUACCAGGUUUCAUUUUGACAUUAUGGUUAUAAUUGCUAAAAAAGGAGAAAGGAGAAUAGGGAUAUCACAGUCCAUGACUGUAUAAUAAUAGUGCUAUGAUUGAAUUAGUUCUUGGUUCAACAUUUAUAAAACCCCAAACAAGAUUAUAUCAGAAAAAAAAAAACAAAAAAAACCAAAAGAAAAUAGAUUGUUCUACCAUUGACCUGAUUAAGUGAUGUAGUUCUAGAUAUUUAAUACUUCCACUUUUUAAUUUGGUAGUUGAAAAAUUCAGCAGCCUGUGGCAUGCAUGAGACCAAACCUAUGGUCUCAAUGAUCAUCUCUGAAGAGCUUGGGAACCUAUAAGGAUGAAUAAUUUUCCUGGGGUCUGAUUUACUAUACCAUUUUUUUUCUGAAAAACAUUUCUUAAAACAUUGAAUAAAAUAUGAACUUGUCUGAUGCCAAAUUUCUUGAAACCAGUCAUUAAGAUUUAUUAUUUCCAUUAUGAAUAAUGUCCAUUAUAAAAGAAGAAAAACAUGACUGUAAGGCAAGCAUAUAUUUUCUGUCAUAGCACAGCAGUUUGUCUUCAAUGACUGAUGUUGUUUGCUGUUUGGGAAAGUAAUAACAGGGAAACAGCAAGUAAGAAUUGUAUUUUUAGCAGAAACUCAUUGUUUACAUUAUUUUCAUUCUUCAAUAAAGUGAAUGCUUAUUAUUGUCAAUAGUGACAACCAAAAGCCACCUGACCUCUCCUUGUGGCUCAAUAAAGCUACAAACAUUGGAGAAAUAGUUAUAAUGCAGAAAGCAUUUACAAUAAGCCUCACCAAAAUGGCAUAUCUUAUGAAAAUAAACUUACUUAAUAAAUGCAAUUGUCUCUUUGAGGCUUGUGUGCAGUUUGGGCACCACAAUAGAAAAAGCUACUGGAGAAAAUAAACUACUAGAGAGUGUCCACAGGAGGUGGUGAAGUGAGGAAUCCUUCUGAGUUCACUUGGUUCAGCCUGGAGCAUCCUCAUAAAGGGAAGCAGAGAGGCAGGUACAAGUCUCUUCAUCUCCUGGCCAGUAUAACUCAAGGGAAAUGUAUAAAGCUGGGUCAGGGGAGGUUUAGGUUGGACAUCAGGAAAGGGUUCUUCACCAAGAGGAUAGUUUGGCAUGGAACAGGCUCCCCAGGGAAGUGUCACAGCACCAAGCCUGAGAGAGUUCAAGAAGUUUUGGACAGUGCUCUCAGGAACAGGGUGGGACUCUUUGGGAAGUUGCUGUGUCUCUUUUCUGCUCUUUCAAAAUAAUGCUGUGUGCUAUGACAAUAUAUGUGUUUAAACUGAUGAAACUUCUGUCAACCCUGCUAUGAUUCUGUAUAGUGUUUUUUUUGCCCCCCAAGGAUUCCAACUAUUUAUCAGUGAAAAACUCUGUGUGAAUACCUCUAAGUAACUUUCUAAAAUAAUUUCAUCUAAUAGGAUCAAAGAAUUACAGAAAAUCACUUUCCACAGAAUGCAAUUGUGUGUUGUUACAAUAUAUUUCAAAACCUAAUUUGUAUAAUCUGUAUCUCUAUAACAAGAUUUAGAUUUGUUUCUUCACUAUAACACAGUUCUAGACAAACUUUCCAAAACAAAAAUCAAAGAGCACUUGAGAAGCAGAAGAAAUAAAUUUGUUAUAAAAGCCUAGUGUUCUGUACAGAUAGUGAAUGAAACUCUAGGAACAUGAGUAUUUUUCAUCGUAAUUUUUCAUAGUAAAGAUGUCGUUGUAAUAAAAGUAUGUUUUUAAAUUAGUGACAUUUUUAAAUUGGUUUCAGAUUUAUGAGAAAGCUGUGCUGGUGGGAAAUAAUCCAAGAAAAAUGUUAAUUAGAAAGUACAAUUCUUGUUGUGUCUUGAGCUACCAGAAAUAUCUGCUAAUUGCUACCAGUCAUCUCCUUUCAUUUCCAGCUGAUCUAAUUAAUUUCAAAACACCUCUGAAUUUCACAGCCUGGAUUUCUAGAUUUCAGAAAAUUUAUAUGCUCUUGAAGGCUUUAAUAAAAACUCACAUAUCAUCUAAAUCAGGUAGAUUUUAAAAUUGAACCCAUUUUUAGGCAGAUCCAUGGUAAAUUUUCCUUCCCAUACUCUUCUUUCUCUAUUCAAAAUAUUUUUGAUAAACAACUGAAAUAAACAUUUGAGAUAACUGUGUUUGUAUUUAGAAAAUUUUAACUCACGCAUAACAUACAUAGAGAUAAUUUUAAAAAAUGUCAUCUAUUUAUAUAUAUUUUUUGUUAAUCACUUACCCCCCAUAAAUGUGAAUUAUUACAGAAAUUAACUAUAUUCAUAAUAUAUUUUCCAUUCUGUGCAUUAUGUGGCCCUUCGGAAUGAAGUAUUUCUAAAUGAAGUAUUUCAGUUUCAUUUAUAUUUUGUGUUUAGGAAUUCCCUUAAAACAGAAUGCAAAACAGUUUCCUGUGGACUUGGACAAAAGAGUUUUGUUUAGAAUUAUGUCUAACAUUAGAAAUUUCUAUCUGUCAGUUGUCUGAGAAACAUAUGUGGGUGGGGGAUAAAAAUUCUUAAACAAAACUGUACAUUAAACUCAGAUGAAAGUAAUAGUAGGUGAAAGUGUGAAAUUAGGUGUUUGCUGGUUGGUUUGUUUGUUUAUUACCAGCAGAAAGUACAAGUGUGGUGAUGGUGCUCAGCUUUUUCCAGCUUGCUUUCCUGUGCCAAGGCAGACCUUGGCUCCCCAUUUAAAUAUGGUUGAGAGAUUGUUAGCUUUAGACAUCUGAAUAGUCAAAGUGUGCAGUGAAUAAUCACAAAGUGUGCUUCCCUUCAAGUGUCUGGCCAAUGAUCUCCCUUUUAGCCUGCAGCAAUAAUUGUCUGUGCAUUUUAACAGUUCAUUUGCUUUCACUACUCUGCUUGUUUCUUAGCACAUUGGAUUUUACGCUGUUUUGAAGAAAAACCCUUCUGAUGGUUGAAAUGAGCAUUUGUAUUAGAUGUGGUGCAGUGGAAGAAACUCUGAUAGUGGCUGUGCACAUUUUUACAUGGAUAAGCAGUGUCUGUGGAUGCCAUCUCUAAAAGGAUUUAUUUAUAUCUCUCCUCUCGUAGAAAUGAUGGAUGAAGGUGCCAUAUUUAUCAUAUGAGAGUAUUUUCCCAGGUAUUGUUUUUUAGCAAAUACAAAUACAGCCAUAAAACAAAUACUCCCUGUGGGCUCUCAGCACCAGAUUAGAGAGAGAGUGAAGUUUACAUAGCACUCUAAACAGUGACCAACUACAAAAAGAUUUCCCAAAAGGAUAAAGAAAGGAAAAGAAUUAAGCACACUAACUUUUAAGCAGUUCUUUGGCCCACAGAAUUAUGUAAAGAUGCUGUAGCAUUCAUAAGAGUCCUACAAAGUUCUGCAAUCAGCUUCUGCUGCAAAAUGCCAGCCUGUACAAGGUUAGUAUAAGGGAUGAAGUGAAAUGUGUGCUGCAGCCUCAAAGGGCAGCAUAGCUGGGGGUUCUAAACAUGCUUCUAUCCAGUUUAAAUGCAGUACAGUGAAAUUACCUUUUUAAAAUGCUUUUUGCUAUUGAAAUUUUUUGGGAAUGUAUUACUUUGUUUCUCUCAGUACAGUGGAGAACUUGUUUUUUGGAGAACAAUUCUGGUCUGAAGGAAGUUGCCUAUUUUUCCCUGUUUCAAUGUUGAAAGCUGUACAGGACUGAAAAAAAGACUGAAAUAUAUUUCAUUUCCUUACUUUAACAUGACAUUCUUUUCUCUUCAGGUUAGGUCUUUAAAAAACAAUAGUAAGAAAAAGUUGGGUGACUUUUUUUUACCCUGUGUCAUUACAAUAUUACCAGCAAAUAUAUAUUUGCAAAUUUUGAAUAUUUUCUUUAAUUGAGUAAAAUUACCUAGCAUAAUAUUUGAUUUCUAAGAAGGAAAAAGAAGGAGGAGGAAAGGAUGAGGGAAAAUAAUUGUCCCCUGGGAAACUUUUCUGAAUAUGCUAUUUUCUUAUUUUCUCUCUGAGAUACUUUUAAGGGUUGUAACAGUCUUUAGUGAAGAAGGACUUGACAUAUAAGGUUUUGCUCUCCCUUUUCCAAAGGUGUUAAAUUUAGCAAUAUCUUUUAUUGAUGGCAAGCACAAGUGUCUCACUACACCAAACUUAUUUCUUUUCCUCUUUUAAUUGAAAAUAUCUUGUACUCUGUUCUCAGAUAUCUUACAUGUGCAAUGCAAUCACAUGCUGUUAUAUAAUAUUGUUCAAGUUGACAGCAAUCUGAAAAUGUACCAAAACCAUCAAAAAGUUAUUUUUGUGCAGAUGAUAACAGGUUGCAAUUCUUAUAUGACGUGCUUAUUGUCUUAUAUGUGUGUUUAAUGGUGUGAGAAAAAAAUGUAAUGGGUAUCAACACAAAACAACACACAAUUUUGAAGACUGGAGUUUACCUCAAGGAUGCAGGGACUGGCUGGAGCUGAAAACAGUGUUGCACCAGAUACCUAUCUGCUAAACCUUUAGUUUACUAUUUUUAUCCCAGAUAUUCAUUAACUUAUGUUGCAUAAGUUUAAAGUAAUUCUUAAAGUAAACAGCAGUAUUGCUGUUCAUUAACUUUCUAUUUUGUUAUUUUGGUAAUUUUUCAGCUUCUAGGAAGGUAAUACCAUGUUCUUUUUCAAAAAACCCCACAUCCCCUUUUACUUAUUUCCAAGGCAUUCUUUAGACAACUGCUGGAUGACAGAUAGUCACCAUAUGUCUCUUCAUAUCUAUAACAUGUGUCUAAAUGUCUUGUACCAGCAAUUCUGUGAGCAAAAGCACUCCACCAUGAGGUAGCAGAAAACACUACUCAAGAUAAGUGAAAGGUAAAAAAACAUUUUGUAAUCAGUAACUUUACCUACCAAAUCACUCCUCCUUCUUUCCCUUAGUCCUGACUCCUAAGGGAAACCAACAAAUUGCCUUCACAAGUUGACUCUGAAGUCAUAAAUCUAAAAAAGAUUAACAAAUU